AAUCACACACUUUUUAUUUGUAAAUGUCUGAUAAAGGUUUUCAGUUUAAAAGGGCUCACAGUACAAGCAUUGUCCAUACAAAGCUUAAAAAUGCCACACACAAACCGACAUGUAAGGCCAUGUUUGAUCUGUAAUGCAAAUAAAUUAAACAAAGAUGGAAAGCUUUAAGCCUAAUGUUCUUUUGAUCUUUGAAGCCUGAUGGCUUUUAAAGUACAACUCUUUUCUGUAUCACAGCCCAGCACUUACAUCUGUAUGCCCAUAUAUAUACGCAUCCUUAUGUAUAAAACAAAAAACUUCUGUGUUCCAAAUAGGGUCAGUAGUUAACAGCAACACUAUGAUUUUCUUUAAAUGCCCUGUAUGCAUGAGCAGAGAUGAGUCCAAAUCUUGUCUCAUUGGUGAAAACGACAUAUGCAGGCAUGAGCAGGAUCUGGCAGAAUUUACUUAGGCUAAAGAAGAUUUUGCAAUGCAUGCAAGGCACAAUCAAGCCCUAAACAGAAAUGGCAUGUGUGUAGAAAGGCAUUUUGGCUUUUUCCAGGAAGCAACUCAAUAAACUGUAGCCAUUGAGAGCAGUGCCAUAUCCAGAGCCCUCCUCAGUGCUCAUAUUUAAGUCAUCCUGAAGCUGAGAGAAUGUAUGCAGAGAUAUCCAUGAAACGAAUUUAGCUUUUAUGGAUUUCAUAAAAUGGCACUACAAAGUUUUAAUGAACUAUCCCACUUAAAAAAAUGUAAAAUAUUGGUAAUAAUAAUAAAAAAUAGCAGUAGGUUGCUUUGUUAUAACCUCAACAGAAAAAACUAUCAUGUUAAGAGAGCCAUUGACCUGGGUGGCCAAGGCAAAAAGGGGACUUUUUGGAGCAGCAUGUGUUGGUGAAGGAAAGUGGGAGUGUUCGUGCUUUGCUGAAUGAGGACCCCAUCUCACAGUGAUCUGGCUGAGCAAACGGGGAGCUGUUUGGUUUGCAUCUGAGGAUGCCACAAGUCAGCAGAAAAAUAACUGCAAGUUGAUGCAGAGCAAAUAGUUUUGGAAACAUUUGGAGGAAAACAAAAGCCUGAAGCACUCUUUUGUUUCAGCUUAAAUGAAGUUUUUCACUCUAAGUCAGAGCAGCUGAAGCUGAAGAUCUCUUUUGCAGAGCAGGCUUGAGAAAGAAGUAGUUUCAAACCUAAAAAUUGGCACAUCUCAUUUUUUUUUUCCCUGCAACAAGCUUUGAGUGGCACUCAAGCAAGCAGCAAACAAUUGCUCCAUCACUGAAGCAUCAUGGAAAGGUCUCACCCCAUUAUAUGUUUUCUCCUCCUGAGCACCCUGAGGCGAAAGCUCAUUUUACAGACUCACACAUUUUUAUGUUUUGAUUUAUGAAACUUUCUUUUUAAAAGAAAAAACACCUGCAGGUUUGUGGUU
ensembl:lncRNA